AAGUCGUAACAAGGUAACCGUAGGUGAACCUGCGGUUGGAUCAUUAACGAAAGACGACCCGGCCUCUGGCCGUGGUUAUCAAUGGGAUGGCGGUCGGGACCAGGGCCCUUCUCGGCCCGCGGUCCUUUCCGUCCCCUCUUCCACCUGCUGAAUUUAUUUCUGUCUAAAUAUGAUUGCUUGUGUGAUCAAUGUGCAAACAACUUUUGGCAACGGAUCUCUUGGCUCUCGC
rnacentral:misc_RNA from 1 species